rnacentral:lncRNA from 1 species
GGUGCGCAGACAAUAAAUGGGAGUUUUUGCCCAUCUUACAUUUAGAAUUACGUGUAAAGUGAUAUUACUCAUUAACCAAACAUAUUAAAGACCUAGGGUCUUUUUGAUUUAAGGUCCUUGGUUUGUGACCUUGAAAUUGAGGUCAAGGUCAUAGGUUAAUAGGACGUUCUAGAUUUUGACCUUUGCUUUAAAUUCAUAUAAAUACAUCAUAAAGCCAUAGGAACUAACAUUUUAAACUGAUUUUUCAUAUUUCAAUAUCAAAAUAGAUCUUUACUAGUGGAAAGACCUUCAAUUGUUCUCUGAACAAUUGGUUUUUAAUUAUUAUUAUUUUAUUUUUUUUUUUUCUUCCGCCUAAAUUUUUUUCUUGCGUAGUAUUGAUGUUUCAAAAGAUGUCGCUUAGAUAUUUGGAAUAUGAUGUCGUAUAGUUUAUACGCUUUAAAAAUUUAC